GAUGAACGCUGGCGGCGUGCCUAAUACAUGCCAGUCGAGCGAACAGACGAGGAGCUUGCUCCUCUGACGUUAGCGGCGGACGGGUGAGUAACACGUGGAUAACCUACCUAUAAGACUGGGAUAACUUCGGGAAACCGGAGCUAAUACCGGAUAAUAUAUUGAACCGCAUGGUUCAAUAGUGAAAGACGGUUUUGCUGUCACUUAUAGAUGGAUCCGCGCCGCAUUAGCUAGUUGGUAAGGUAACGGCUUACCAAGGCAACGAUGCGUAGCCGACCUGAGAGGGUGAUCGGCCACACUGGAACUGAGACACGGUCCAGACUCCUACGGGAGGCAGCAGUAGGGAAUCUUCCGCAAUGGGCGAAAGCCUGACGGAGCAACGCCGCGUGAGUGAUGAAGGUCUUCGGAUCGUAAAACUCUGUUAUUAGGGAAGAACAAAUGUGUAUGUAACUAUGCACGUCUUGACGGUACCUAAUCAGAAAGCCACGGCUAACUACGUG
rnacentral:rRNA from 1 species